AGAGUUUGAUCAUGGCUCAGAUUGAACGCUGGCGGCAGGCCUAACACAUGCAAGUCGAGCGGAAACGAUCCUAGCUUGCUAGGAGGCGUCGAGCGGCGGACGGGUGAGUAACGCGUGAGAAUCUACCCAUGAGUGGGGGACAACCCGGGGAAACUCGGGCUAAUACCGCAUACGCCCUACGGGGUAAAGCAGGGGACCUUCGGGCCUUGCGCUGAUGGAUGAGCUCGCGUCGGAUUAGCUUGUUGGUGAGGUAAAGGCUCACCAAGGCGACGAUCCGUAGCUGGUCUGAGAGGAUGAUCAGCCACACCGGGACUGAGACACGGCCCGGACUCCUACGGGAGGCAGCAGUGGGGAAUCUUGGACAAUGGGGGCAACCCUGAUCCAGCCAUGCCGCGUGUGUGAAGAAGGCCUUCGGGUUGUAAAGCACUUUCAGCAGGGAGGAAGGCUUACCCCUAAUACGGGUGAGUACUUGACGUUACCUGCAGAAGAAGCACCGGCUAAUUUCGUGCCAGCAGCCGCGGUAAUACGAAAGGUGCAAGCGUUAAUCGGAAUUACUGGGCGUAAAGCGCGCGUAGGCGGUGUGUUAAGUCGGAUGUGAAAGCCCAGGGCUCAACCUUGGAAUUGCAUCCGAUACUGGCACGCUAGAGUGCAGUAGAGGGAGGUGGAAUUUCCGGUGUAGCGGUGAAAUGCGUAGAGAUCGGAAGGAACACCAGUGGCGAAGGCGGCCUCCUGGACUGACACUGACGCUGAGGUGCGAAAGCGUGGGGAGCAAACAGGAUUAGAUACCCUGUAGUCCACGCU
rnacentral:rRNA from 1 species